rnacentral:rRNA from 1 species
CCUACGGGGGGCUGCAGUAGGGAAUCUUGCGCAAUGGGCGAAAGCCUGACGCAGCCAUGCCGCGUGUAUGAUGAAGGUCUUAGGAUUGUAAAAUACUUUCACCGGGGAAGAUAAUGACGGUACCCGGAGAAGAAGCCCCGGCUAACUUCGUGCCAGCAGCCGCGGUAAUACGAAGGGGGCUAGCGUUGCUCGGAAUUACUGGGCGUAAAGGGCGCGUAGGCGGAUAGUUUAGUCAGAGGUGAAAGCCCAGGGCUCAACCUUGGAACUGCCUUUGA